CAUCUCCUGGACAGUCAGCCGAGUGUUUCCAUGAUACCAGCCAUACCUGAUGCCAGGAGACUCGCUACACUUGGAAGCUCUUCAAGGCAUGCUUAUCUUUGUGAACUGAAUCUUGGAGAAGCAGGAUUGAAAAUAAGAGCUAUCUUUGAGGCUCUAGCACCUACAAGAGACACCCUCCCUCUCCACCGUGGAUCACCUGUCUCACCCGUGUGAGUCUCCACACAGAAACCAGUCAUGGCCCUGCCUUUGCCCCCCUUGAAAUCACCCAAGAGGAUGCUUCAAACUCAGGAGAGGAAACCAAUGGCCAGAAAGAUGCAGCUUUCCAAGAUCACCCAGGAAAUAAAGGAUGGAGCUAAGAGUGGGUCACUUCCUGACUCAAUUUAUGCUACCUUGUCUCAGAAGAGGAUGCCUCUGAGGCGGGCAUGUAGUUGCCCCUGCAGGACCAAGACAAUGGGGCCAGCUGGAUUCCACUUUAUACAACCAAUAUGGUCUGUGUCUGUUUGGAUUUCUAUCUCAGAAUGCAAUAGACAAAGUGGCUUAUAAGCAAUGAAGGAUUUAUUUCUCACAGUUGUGGAGGUGAAGGAGUCCAAGGUCAAGGUGCAGGGAGAUUUGGCAUCUGGUGAGGGCUACUGUCCGGGCUUCUGGAUGGCGCCUUCUCACUGUGGCCUCCCGUGGCUGAAGGGGACAGGAGCCCUCUCCUUUAUAAGGGCAAUAAGCCCUUCCUGGCCUAAUCGCCUUCCAAAGGCCGUGCCUCCUAAUACUGUCUUCCUGGGGAUUAGAGUUUUAACAUGAAUUUGGGAGGGACUUAACCAUUCAGUCCAGAGCGGAUAUUAUGU
rnacentral:lncRNA from 10 species